AGAGUUUGAUCAUGGCUCAGAUUGAACGCUGGCGGCAGGCCUAACACAUGCAAGUCGAGCGGAUGAAGGGAGCUUGCUCCUGGAUUCAGCGGCGGACGGGUGAGUAAUGCCUAGGAAUCUGCCUGGUAGUGGGGGAUAACGUCCGGAAACGGGCGCUAAUACCGCAUACGUCCUGAGGGAGAAAGUGGGGGAUCUUCGGACCUCACGCUAUCAGAUGAGCCUAGGUCGGAUUAGCUAGUUGGUGGGGUAAAGGCCUACCAAGGCGACGAUCCGUAACUGGUCUGAGAGGAUGGUCAGUCACACUGGAACUGAGACACGGUCCAGACUCCUACGGGAGGCAGCAGUGGGGAAUAUUGGACAAUGGGCGAAAGCCUGAUCCAGCCAUGCCGCGUGUGUGAAGAAGGUCUUCGGAUUGUAAAGCACUUUAAGUUGGGAGGAAGGGCAGUAAGUUAAUACCUUGCUGUUUUGACGUUACCAACAGAAUAAGCACCGGCUAACUUCGUGCCAGCAGCCGCGGUAAUACGAAGGGUGCAAGCGUUAAUCGGAAUUACUGGGCGUAAAGCGCGCGUAGGUGGUUCAGCAAGUUGGAUGUGAAAUCCCCGGGCUCAACCUGGGAACUGCAUCCAAAACUACUGAGCUAGAGUACGGUAGAGGGUGGUGGAAUUUCCUGUGUAGCGGUGAAAUGCG
rnacentral:rRNA from 1 species